AAAAAUUUCAGAACUUAAGAGUAUAAGGGAGGUCUUUUCUUUACCGCUGAAUAUCAGAACUAGUACUGUUACUACUUCACUGGUUAUUGCUGAAUUUUCGGCUUGGUUUUUAAAUUUAUUCCUGGGGUCUUCCCGCACUGUUUGUUGCUGGUUUACUGCUUUGGUUGCUGAACCUGUUGUUGCUGUGUUGUGCUACUGCUGCACUACUGACUUCUUCCUCUUGUUUGCUUUCCAAAUACCAGCUACACGAUUGUAACACUGGC
rnacentral:lncRNA from 1 species